rnacentral:rRNA from 1 species
CCUACGAGGAGCAGCAGUGGGGAAUAUUGGGCAAUGGAGGCAACUCUGACCCAGCAACGCCGCGUGAAGGAAGAAGGCAUUAGGGUUGUAAACUUAUGUUGUAAAGGAAGAAAAGAAUGACGGUACUUUAAAAGAAAGCUCAGGCUAACUAUGUGCCAGCAGCCGCGGUAAGACAUAGGGGGCAAGCGUGGUUCGGAAUUAGUGGGCGUAAAGGGAGCGAAGGCGGGAAAUUAAGUUGAGAGUGAAAGCAUUGAACUCAACCCAAGAAAAGCUCUUAAUACUGGUUUUCUAGAGUGUGGGAGAGGUAAGUGGAAUUCCUGGUGUAGCGGUGAAAUGCGUAGAGAUUAGGAGGAACAUCAGAGGCGAAGGCGACUUACUGGACCAUAACUGACGCUGAGGCUCGAAAGCGUGGGGAGCAAACAGGAUUAGAUACCCCAGUAGUC